GCUUAGGAAUCUGCCUAUUAGUGGGGGACAACAUUCCGAAAGGAAUGCUAAUACCGCAUACGUCCUACGGGAGAAAGCAGGGGAUCUUCGGACCUUGCGCUAAUAGAUGAGCCUAAGUCGGAUUAGCUAGUUGGUGGGGUAAAGGCCUACCAAGGCGACGAUCUGUAGCGGGUCUGAGAGGAUGAUCCGCCACACUGGGACUGAGACACGGCCCAGACUCCUACGGGAGGCAGCAGUGGGGAAUAUUGGACAAUGGGCGGAAGCCUGAUCCAGCCAUGCCGCGUGUGUGAAGAAGGCCUUUUGGUUGUAAAGCACUUUAAGCGAGGAGGAGGCUACUCUAGUUAAUACCUAGAGAUAGUGGACGUUACUCGCAGAAUAAGCACCGGCUAACUCUGUGCCAGCAGCCGCGGUAAUACAGAGGGUGCGAGCGUUAAUCGGAUUUACUGGGCGUAAAGCGUGCGUAGGCGGCUGAUUAAGUCGGAUGUGAAAUCCCUGAGCUUAACUUAGGAAUUGCAUUCGAUACUGGUCAGCUAGAGUAUGGGAGAGGAUGGUAGAAUUCCAGGUGUAGCGGUGAAAUGCGUAGAGAUCUGGAGGAAUACCGAUGGCGAAGGCAGCCAUCUGGCCUAAUACUGACGCUGAGGUACGAAAGCAUGGUGAGCAAACAGGAUUAGAUACCCUGGUAGUCCAUGCCGUAAACGAUGUCUACUAGCCGUUGGGGCCUUUGAGGCUUUAGUGGCGCAGCUAACGCGAUAAGUAGACCGCCUGGGGAGUACGGUCGCAAGACUAAAACUCAAAUGAAUUGACGGGGGCCCGCACAAGCGGUGGAGCAUGUGGUUUAAUUCGAUGCAAC
rnacentral:rRNA from 1 species